AGAGUUUUAUCCUGGCUCAGGACGAACGCUGGCGGCGUGCUUAACACAUGCAAGUCUAGGCAGAACGUAUCUUCGGAUAUUAGUAAACUGGCGAACGGGUGAGUAACGCGUAGGUAAUUUGCCUUUAAGUGGGGGACAGCCACGGGAAACUGUGAUUAAUACCGCAUAAGGUUGAUUUACAUAAGUAGAUUAAUUAAAGUUGGGGACCUUCGGGCCCAACGCUUGAAGAUAAGCCUGCGUCUGAUUAGUUAGUUGGUGAGGUAAUGGCUUACCAAGACAUCGAUCAGUAGCUGUUCUAAGAGGAAGAUCAGCCACAUUGGGACUGAGAUACGGCCCAGACUCCUACGGGAGGCAGCAGUGAGGAAUUUUGCGCAAUGGGGGCAACCCUGACGCAGCAACGCCGCGUAACCGAUUGAAGCUUCUAGGAGUGUAAAGGUCUGUCGUGAAGGAAGAAAAAGUCCGAGAAUAAUAAGUUCGGUAAUUGACGGUACUUCACAAGCAAGCUCCGGCUAACUUCGUGCCAGCAGCCGCGGUAAUACGAGGGGAGCAAGCGUUGUCCGAAAUAACUGGGCGUAAAGGGUACGUAGGCUUUUUUUGUAUGUUUUCGGUGAAAGUCAUAGGCUCAACUUAUGAAUUGCCGGAAAAACUGCAGAGAUUGAAUCCGGAAGGGGAAAGCGGAAUUCCUGGUGUAGCGGUGAAAUGCGUAGAUAUCAGGAGGAACACCAGUGGCGAAGGCGGCUUUCUGGUCCGGAAUUGACGCUGAGGUACUAAAGCGUGGGUAGCAAACAGGAUUAGAUACCCUGGUAGUCCACGCCCUAAACGAUGUAUACUUGAUGUCGGGAUGUUCGGUCGUCUCGGUGUCGUAGCUAACGUGUUAAGUAUACCGCCUGGGGACUACGGUCGCAAGACUGAAACUCAAAGGAUUGACGGGGGCCCGCACCAGCGGUGGAACAUGUGGUUUAAUUCGAUGCAACGCGAAGAACCUUACCUGGGCUUGACAUACAUAUGAAGUAUGUAAGAAAUUAUGUAUUCCUGCUGCUUGCAGUAGGCAUAUGUACAGGUGAUGCAUGGCUGUCGUCAGCUCGUGUCGUGAGAUGUAGGGUUAAGUCCCUUAACGAGCGCAACCCUUGCUUUUAGUUGCCAUCAGGUAAUGCUGGGGACUCUAGAAGGACUGCCGAGGUUAACUCGGAGGAAGGUGGGGAUGACGUCAAGUCAGUAUGUCCCUUAUGCCCAGGGCUACACACGUGUUACAAUGGCCGGUACAGAGUGCAGCAAGACCGUGAGGUGGAGCAAAUCACUUAAAGCCGGUCCCAGUUCGGAUAGGAGUCUGCAAUUCGACUCCUUGAAGUUUGAAUCGCUAGUAAUCGCAGAACAGCACGCUGCGGUGAAUACGUUCCCGGGCCUUGUACACACCGCCCGUCACGCCAUGGAAGUUGGGGGUACCCGAAGUUGCUGUCUAUUCGGUGGAGGUAACUAAGGUAAAACCGAUGACUGGGGCGAAGUCGAAACAAGGUA
rnacentral:rRNA from 1 species